rnacentral:rRNA from 1 species
UAGAUACCCUGGUAGUCCACGCCGUAAACGAUGAUUACUAGGUGUUGGGGGUCGAACCUCAGCGCCCAAGCUAACGCGAUAAGUAAUCCGCCUGGGGAGUACGUACGCAAGUAUGAAACUCAAAGGAAUUGACGGGGACCCGCACAAGCGGUGGAGCAUGUGGUUUAAUUCGACGCAACGCGAGGAACCUUACCAGCGUUUGACAUCUUAGGAAUGAGACAGAGAUGUUUCAGUGUCACUUCGGUGAAAC